UUCUUAUCAAGAGAGGUAGAGGGACUGGCCCGGUGACACCUCAGCAACCAGCAUGGCGCAUGGUGCUAAUUCCAGCAAGUUGAUUCAACUUGGCCGAUAAGAG
rnacentral:ncRNA from 2 species